AACGAACGCUGGCGGCGUGCCUAACACAUGCAAGUCGAACGCGAACGGGUCUUCGGACCCUAGUAGAGUGGCGCACGGGUGAGUAACACGUGGGCAAUCUACCCAGGGAUUUGGGAUAACCAGGGGAAACCCUGGCUAAUACCGAAUACGUCCAUGAGGCCUUCGGUCCUCAUGGAGAAAGGUGGCCUCUUCUCGAAAGCUGCCGUUCCUGGAUGAGCCCGCGGACCAUUAGCUUGUUGGUGAGGUAACGGCUCACCAAGGCCAUGAUGGUUAGCUGGUCUGAGAGGAUGAUCAGCCACACUGGGACUGACACACGGCCCAGACUCCUACGGGAGGCAGCAGUCGAGGGGCUUCGGCAAUGGGGGAAACCCGUGACCGAGCGACGCCGCGUGGGCGAUGAAGGUUGUAAGAUCGUAAAGCCCUGUCAGGAGGGAAGAACUGCCAAUGGGCAAACAGGCCAUUGGUUUGACGGUACCUCCAGAGGAAGCUCCGGCUAACUCCGUGCCAG
rnacentral:rRNA from 1 species